CUUUGCCAAUAGAAUUUUAAAGAUCCAGUAAUAACUAAUAUUUUAUGCUACCCAUAAUAUACUAGUACAUCUCAUUUCACACCUUACAUAGAUUCACUUCAAAUAUGCAAUCAGAGCUUACCAUUUAAAGAAGUACCAUUGUGAAUUUUGUAAGGAAAUGCAUUUACAGAAUGUAUUUAUCGGUUAUGAAAAUCCUUACUGCCAUUCAUAGUAAAAUCUGAGAGGUAGAGGUGAAUCGUCUAAGAUUCCCAAAGUUCCACUGGAGUUGACAAACCUUUAGGGUGGUUUGAGACCAUACAGACAAGAAAGCAGCAGUCCCACAACACCCAAAACAAAGCAAAAAGAAGUCAAUGACACAUAUAUUCUUAUAUCUAUCCUUCCUUCCUCCCUUCUUCCUUACUUCCCUCCUUCCUUCCUUCUCUCCUUGCUAUCAUCCUUUCUCCCUUCCUUCCAUCCUUUCUUCCUUCUUUUAACAUCUAUUUACUGAGCUCUUACUUGGCACUAGGAACCGUGGCAGGUACUGGGAGACUUUCUGUAGGGAUUAGAUCCAGCAGUAGAGGUGCAGAUGAUACGAUAGGCUCAUCUUCAACUGUACUAGAUUUUGUUAAAUUGUUUUCCAAAGUGGUGAUGCCAGUGAAAUUCUCCCAUGAGCAGUGCAUAAAAUUUAUUUGCUCUACAUCCUCACCAAUACUUGAUCUCUGGUGAAUGUAAAAUCCUACUUUCUGGUGGUUUUAAUUUUGUGUUUCCCUGAUCACUAUGUUUAUGGUUAUUGGCCAUUCAGGUUUUCUUUUCUGUCCACUGCCUGUUUAUAUUCUUUACCCAUUUUUCUAUUGGGUUGUCUUUUCCUCAUUGAUUUAUAGGGGUUCUUUAUACACACUGUGUAUAAAAUUUUUUACAUGUUUAAAUCUCUUUCUCACUUUUCACUUCUUUAGGUAUUGUUUAACAUCACAAAUUUCUAAUUUUAACAGAACUAGAAAAAACAAUUCUAAAAUCCAUAUGAAACCAAAAAACAGCCCACAUAGCCAAAGCAAGAUAAAGCAAAAAGAGGAAAUCUGGAGGCAUCACAUUACCAGAUUUCAAACUAUACUAUAAGACCACAGUCACCAAAACAGUAUGGUACUGGUAUAAAAAUAAGCACCUAGACCAAUGGAACAGAAUAGAGAACCCAGAAAUAAAGCCAAAUACUUACAGCCAACUGAUCCUUGACAAAGCAAACAAAAAUGUAAAGUGGGGAAAGGACA
rnacentral:lncRNA from 1 species